rnacentral:lncRNA from 1 species
CGGGGCGGAGCGCAUCGCCCAGCUUCCCCCGCGCCCCCGCCUCUCGCAUCCGGCGGCGGCACAGGAUGUUCUUUCGCUCGGGUCCCCCGCCCCCGCUCUCACUUUCUUCCCCGCUCCCCUCCUCCACACGCGCCGUGAGCCGCGCCCCGAGCCAGCACCUUGCUUAACCCCUUCCCGCCCGCGCCUAGGGCGCGCAGCGAGUCUGGGGUGCCCGGGUAGGCGCAGGACUGCGCCCACCAGGACAACGUCGAGGGUGGAGAGUAUGGUGGUCUUCCGAGGACCCAAGCCUGCAGUCUCCAGAAGCCCCCUAAAUCGCCAGGGGCGGUUCCCGGGGACCCAGGCCCGCACUCUCGCGAUCUUACGCUAAAUUGCCAAGGGCAAGCGCAAGGUGGGCUCUCUCGUGGGCGCAGACCGGUGUGCUUAGCUAUCUCCGGCCUAAGGAACGGGGGAGUACCCAGCAACCUUAACCUCAUCUUCCCCUCCAGGUUGUGCUAAGGCGCGGCUCACAACGUUUGAGAGGAUGGAGAGAGGCCACACCCCCUCGAUUAACGUCACUGUUUCCAAGGCAAUCGGAGGCGGGGCUGUAGACAAGCGGACUUUGGGGACUAUGGCUUAAUAGGGCUCCAGGACAGGGUGCGGCUGGGCUGGGGGCUCGGCGGGGUGGGACGUUUCUGUCUUUGCUUUUUUAUUGACUCGCUUGAUUUUUGAUUCAACAGAUAUUUAUGCUUGGCGCCAUUCUUAGGGACUGUUUUUCUCUCACCAAGUCUGCGGUUCACAGGUUGUCACUAAGCCGGGUGGAGUGGCCAUGCACCCAGGAUAUGAUCCUGGGAUAGAUGUAAUGCCUUUUUAUUAAAUUUACUGUAGGGGGCUGGGGCUCAUGUGCUAUAACGUGCAUCUGGAGAUAUGAGGGCAGGCAAUUUGUGGGAGUUGGUUCUCGUCUUCUACCUUGUGAGACCCCAACUCAUGUCAGGCUUGGCGGCACCUUUAUCCACUGCGCUAUGUAAUUAUUCAGUGUCUCCUUUCUCUUGUCAAGUACCCCAGAGCGAGCACUAAUCAGUGAAGACUUGGUUCUCUAAUUCAUGGAAGGUCUCAGCUAUUCAGGGAAGGAGGACAAAGUGUUCCAUGCUCACCACGUACCAACUCCUUCCCAGCAUUUUAGGUCUUGUGAUCUUUGCCCUGUUGUAUUUCUGGUGCCUUUUACAGCCUAGGAACUGAGUCUGAGCUCUCAGAGGACCCUAAGCCCGAUAGCUAAGUGUUGGAACCAGGACCCUAAGCCAGAU